AUCUAAAUAGUUUAAAAAAAAUAUUGAUUUGUGGUAUCAAAGUUAUUGGAUUAAUUUUAGAUU
rnacentral:tRNA from 1 species